AGCUUUGCACAGUGGCAGUAUCAUAGCCAGUGAGGUUUAUACAAGGUUUGAUUAUUGUUAACUGAAUAUUGUAAUGUACAAUUCCUCAUUUAACAACCAAUUUAUUUAACAACCUAGUCUCAGG
rnacentral:snRNA from 1 species